GGUCCCUGCGCGGGCCCGGGCCCCGCCCCACCGGGGCUGGCAGUGCUCACACACACCCAACGGGCCCCGUCCCUGCCCGAGAUAGGCACCCCCAGCCCCCUCCCGUAGCCGGCACACACGUUCGGGCCGCUCUGCGGGGACAGGGGUCGGCUGAGGUGAGGGCAGGGCAGACGCGCCACAGACGCAUCAAAGCUCUUAAGAUGCUUUGGGACGGAAAUUGCAGGCAGGAUCAGUGCAGUAAGCAGUUCAGGAGUUCUGGGCAAGAGGAAUUUCUCUGCUUUCCUAGUCUGAGCUGGAAAGGACUUAAAGGAUCGUCGAUUCCGGCUCUUUGAGUAAUAGACACCAGAAGCACAGAGGAAACUUUUCAUCUUGAUGAAAGAGAGAAUUUUUUUUCAGUGGAGGAAUUGAGAGUGCCCAUCCCUGGAGGUUCUGCAGACACAGCUGGGCAGGUGCUGGGAAAUCCAACCUGGGCUUUGUUUUCCACCAAAGGUGGCACCAGGUGAUGGUUUGGGGUCCCCACCAGCCUGGGGAGCUCUGGGAUCUGUGAAGAUUGUGAAAAAUGUGUAUUUUAUGUUUGGCUUUUGGCAAAUAUUCAAAUGAAUGCUGUCCGUGUUAUGUUAGAGAGUUAUGCUGUAUUAAUUUUUUUAGUAGUGUGCUAAAUACAGUUUUAGGUUACAACAUAAUGUUAAAAUAGAAACUAUAAUAUUAUAUAAUGUUAAAAUAGAAGCUAUACUAAGAUACAUUUUUAAAGAGAGGACUCCCACCAAAAUAGCAGCCACAAAACCCCUAAAUCUUUCAGAGAAAGAGAAUUUAUUGCUCCAUUAUCGAGUUCUUCCCACCUUGCUCAGUCCUAAAGAUGCUGUUAUGAUUCAAAACGAAAAAAAUUGACACUGACCAAGCAAAAUAAUUUGUUCAAAUAAAAUUUAUACAUCAUGUCUAGAGUAUAUGAAUGUGCAACAGGCUGUUGCUUUUAAGGGUUAAUCCUCUGUUAACGUGGGUCCAUUUUCGGGUUUAUUUUGCUCAGAAAAGGUACCCAGACUGUCUGUAACUUGUUGUCUCUAUUGUCUCCUAUUGUCCUAAUCUCAAUUGUUCAAAUUAUUAUUACUCUAAUUAUAUCACAAUUUUAUAACCA